UACAGAGGGUGCGAGCGUUAAUCGGAAUUACUGGGCGUAAAGCGCACGUAGGCGGCUUUGCAAGUCGGGUGUGAAAUCCCCGGGCUCAACCUGGGAACUGCAUCCGAGACUGCAUUGCUAGAGUAUGGGAGAGGGAAGCGGAAUUUCUGGUGUAGCAGUGAAAUGCGUAGAUAUCAGAAGGAACAUCAGUGGCGAAGGCGGCUUCCUGGCCCAAUACUGACGAUCAGGUGCGAAAGCGUGGGGAGCAAACAGG
rnacentral:rRNA from 1 species